ACGCCCUGGAGGAGUGCGACCCUGCUUCGGUAGCCCAUGGGGGAGGAAGCAGGGCGGAACGAUGUGUACGGUGU
ensembl:miRNA bta-mir-2286 bta-mir-2286